rnacentral:rRNA from 1 species
UACGAGGGGGGCGAGCGUUGUUCGGAAUUAUUGGGCGUAAAGGGUGCGUAGGCGGUUUGGUAAGUCUCGUGUGAAAUCUCCGGGCUCAACUCGGAGCCUGCACGAGAAACUGCCGGGCUUGAGUGUGGGAGAGGUGAGUGGAAUUCCUGGUGUAGCGGUGAAAUGCGUAGAUAUCAGGAGGAACACCUGUGGCGAAAGCGGCUCACUGGACCAUAACUGACGCUGAUGCCCGAAAGCUAGGGGAGCAAACAGG